AAUAUGACAGGCCAGAGGAGGGUUAUGUGCGGGGACAGACUGAGGGAACUACGUAGCUUGUCAGAUACGUUUCGAAUUAAUAAGCCAAGGGGAAUCUCCAGAAGUGUAGAGCCCCAUUGUUAUGGUAUCAGCUUGUAGGAUGAGUUUCAUUAAUACAGGUUACUGUAUCAUCAAUAGCACAACUGUGGAAAAUACAACUGUGGAAAAUACAACUGUGGAAAAUACAACUGUGGAAAAUGCAGUGCAGUAAAUAUACUGCUAGGUGGUUUCGAGCCCUGCAUGCUGAUUGGCUGAAAGCAGUGGUUUAUCACGACUACAGUGGUCUGGCUGGUGUGUCUGGCUAACGCUGUGGAGCUGGUGGGGGUGAGCAGAGACAGCUGGGAUGACGUAUGGGAGGCAGAAUGACCAUGAUCCCUUUCCUGAGACACACAUGCUCAGACUCAUGGAUGUCAUUGUUUGGACAUGGUAGACUUUAUCUCAGUGAACUGUGAUCCAGUGAAGGCAAUGAUUGAUGACCUAAUUCAGAGACUGUUUGGCGCCCUGCAGAUAUCCCUCAUGAUCUCCAAACAAAAUCCUUCCCCAGUUCAAGGCGGUUCCAGAACCUUCUGCUGAGGGUGUAGCAGGAGGAGGUCUGGACUCUCUGUCCUCCCUCAGGGCCAAGUAGGACAAACUAGAGCUGAUGCUCAAAGAGCAGGUGUAGAUGAUGCUCUCUGGGACUAGUAAUGCUGAGAGUCAUAUCCAGGCCUACAGGCUGGAGCUGGACAGGUUCAGGGCUCGUUGGGACCAGCUGAAGCCCAGAGACUAGAUCACAGAGACGGGAGACCAAGCAGCCCUGCUGGCUUCUGUCCAAACUAUCAGAGACAAGAGACAGGAGUUCCAGGAGCUGGAGGUCACACACACACACACACACACACACACUGCUGUAGGUUGCACACACGCACACUCACGCAC